rnacentral:rRNA from 1 species
UACAGAGGGGGCAAGCGUUGUUCGGAAUUACUGGGCGUAAAGGGCGCGUAGGCGGCCUUCUAAGUCGAACGUGAAAUCCCUGGGCUCAACCCAGGAACUGCGUCCGAUACUGGAAGGCUUGAAUCCGGGAGAGGGAUGCGGAAUUCCAGGUGUAGCGGUGAAAUGCGUAGAUAUCUGGAGGAACACCGGUGGCGAAGGCGGAUCUCUGGGCCGUAACUGACGCUGAGGAGCGAAAGCAUGGGGAGCGAACAGG